rnacentral:rRNA from 1 species
CAGUCGCGAAAACUUUGCAAUAAGCGAAAGCUUGACAGGGCUAUCCCGAGUGCCAUCCGCUGAGGAAGGCUUUUACCCAGUCUAGAACGCUGGGGGAAUAAGGAGAGGGCAAGUCUGGUGUCAGCCGCCGCGGUAAUACCAGCUCUCCGAGUGGUGUGGAUGUUUAUUGGGCCUAAAGCAUCCGUAGCUGGCCAAGUUAGUCCCUUGUUAAAUCCACCGAACCAAUCGUUGGAUUGCGGGGGAUACUGCUCGGCUAGGGGACGAGAGAGGCAGACGGUAUUCUCGGGGUAGGGGUGAAAUCCUAUAAUCCCGGGAAGACCACCAGUGGCGAAGGCUGUCUGCUAGAACGCGCCCGACGGUGAGGGAUGAAAGCUGGGGGAGCGAACCGGAUUAGA